rnacentral:rRNA from 1 species
GGCUUGAUUUGGCCCAGAUUGAACGCUGGCGGAAUGCUUACACAUGCAAGUCGAACGGCAGCACGGACUCGGUCUGGUGGCGAGUGGCGAAAACGGGUGAGUAAUGUAUCGGAACGUGCCUAGUAGCGGGGGAUAACUACGCGAAAGCGGAAGCAUUACCGGGCAUACGUUCUUCGGGGAAAGCGGGGACCUUCGGGCCUCGCACUAUUAGAGCGGCCGAUAUCGAUUAGCUAUUGGUGGGGUAAUGGUCAUCAAGGUGACGAUCCGUAGCUGGUUUGAGAGGACGACCAGCCACACUGGGACCGAGACACGGCCCAGACUCUACGGGAGGCAGCAGUGGGGAAUUUUGGACAAUGGGGGAAACUCCGAUCCAGCCAUCCCGCGUGUGCGAUGAAGGCCUUCGGGUUGUAGCACUUUUGGCAGAAAGAAACGGCACGGGAUAAUACCCCGUGCGCAACUGACGGUACCUGCAGAAUAAGCACCGGCUAACUACGUGCCAGCAGCCGCGGUAAUACGUAGGGUGCAAGCGUUAAUCGGAAUUACUGGCGUAAAGCGCAGGCGGUUCGAAAGAAAGAUGGAAAUCCCAGAGCUUAACUUUUGAACUGCAUUUUUAACUGGAUUGAGCGAGGUGUCAGAGGAGAAUUCCGCGUAGCAGUGAAAUGCGUAGAUAUGCGGAGGAACACCGAUGGCGGGCGCAGCCUCCGGAUAAAUACCGACGCUCAUGCACGAAAGCGUGGGGAGCAAAUAAGGCGGAUUAGAUACUCCCGGUAGUCCACGCCCCUAAAACGAGGCCGUUCAGCUGCUGUUGGGGCCUUCGGGCCUGGUAGCGCAGCUAACGCGUAGCGCCGACCGCCUGGGGAGUACGGUCGCAAGAUUAAAACUCAAAGGAAUUGACGGGGACCUGCACAAGCGGUGGAUGAGCGUGGAUUAAUUCGAUGCAACGCGAAAAACCUUACCUACCUCCUUGACAUGUCUGGAAUCCCGAAGAGAUUUGGGAGUGCUCGGGUAAGAGAAUCCGAACAGGUGCUGCAUGGCUGCCGUCAGCUUCGUGUCGUGAGAUGUUGGGUUAAGUCCGCAACGAGCGCAACCCUUUACAUUAGUUGCUGCUGAAAGGGCACUUCAAUGAGACUGCUGGUGACAAACCGGAGGAAGGUGGGGAUGACGUCAAGUCCUCAUGGCCCUUGCGGCAGGGCUUCACACGCCAAGGCUAUACAAUGGUCGGGACAGAGGGUCGCCAACCCGCGAGGGUGCCAAUCCCAGAAACCCGGAUCGUAGUCCGGAUCGCAGUCUGCAACUCGACUGCGCGGAAGUCGGAAUCGCUAGUAACGGUGGAUCAGCAUGUCGCGGUGAAUACGCUGCCCCGGUCUUGUACACACCGCCCGCCACACCAUGGGAGUGGGUUUUACCAGAAGUAGUUAGCCUAACCGUAAGGAGGGCGAUUACCACGGUAGGAUUCAUGACUGGGGUGAAGUCGUAACAAGGUAG